rnacentral:rRNA from 1 species
CUACGGGUGGCAGCAAUGGGGAAUAUUGCACAAUGGAGGAAACUCUGAUGCAGCAACGCCGCGUGGAGGAUGACACUUUUCGGAGCGUAAACUCCUUUUAUAUAGGAAGAAGAUGACGGUACUAUAUGAAUAAGCGCCGGCUAACUCCGUGCCAGCAGCCGCGGUAAUACGGAGGGCGCAAGCGUUACUCGGAAUCACUGGGCGUAAAGAGCGUGUAGGCGGAUUAAAAAGUCAGAAGUGAAAUCCUAUAGCUUAACUAUAGAACUGCUUCUGAAACUCUUAAUCUAGAAUAUGGGAGAGGUAGAUGGAAUUUCUGGUGUAGGGGUAAAAUCCGUAGAGAUCAGAAGGAAUACCGAUUGCGAAGGCGAUCUACUAGAACAUUACUGACGCUGAGACGCGAAAGCGUGGGGAGCAAACAGGAUUAGAUACCCUGGUAGUC